UUCCGUGGCCCCCGGGACAUCCAGCCUGAAGGACAGUGGGGCAGGAAUUUUUCCGGGGCAAGACGCUUCAGCCUGCAAGGCUGACCGCUCCCGAGCCGCUCGCAGGCCCGCAGUUGGGAGGAGAGCAGUCCAGACUACAGAAAGAGCACGGACAGAGGCGUGGAGAGGAGGCAGUCAGCAAGUUCUUGUAACCGGCCCAUUUGGAAUUAGAGACCAUCCUGAUCCUCACCAAUCCCCACAGGAGUCUCCACUCCUCUAGUGGGAAUCCAGAGACUGGAGCCCAGCCUAUUCCAAAAUCCCACCACUGCCAGCCUGCAAUUCCAUUUGCCACUCCUCUGAAUGAAAGCACUGUUGUCUCCUGAAGGUCCCAGAGGGACACAAUAAAUGGAGAAGGUA
rnacentral:lncRNA from 1 species